CAAGUUAUUAAGGGUGCAGGGCGGAUGCCUUGGCACUAGGAGCCGAUGAAGGACGUGAUAAGCUGCGAUAAGCUUCGGGGAGUUGCACGUAAACUUUGAUCCGAAGAUUUCCGAAUGAGGAAACUCACUUAGAGUAAUGUCUAAGUAUCAUUAAGUGAAUACAUAGCUUAAUGAGGGGAACUCAGGGAACUGAAACAUCUAAGUACCUGAAGGAAGAGAAAGAAAUUCGAUUCCGUAAGUAGCGGCGAGCGAACGCG
rnacentral:rRNA from 1 species